GUCACAAGCAAAUAACAUCAUUCGAGUUCUCAAUCACGAAACCACAUACCGCCCUCUAGUCUUGGUUAAGGUUCUUCCUCGGACCAUCCGCAUCAGCGUCGCAGAUGAAAUCAGCUGAAGGCUGAAGCAUAUGCUGUCCUCUGAGGGAAUUGAUGAUGGAGAGAUCUCAACCAGAGUAUUGCACUAAUGAUGUGCUCGAUGCUGGCAGUAAAGAACAACUCCAAGAUCAUCGUGUUAAACAAGAAUUCGAAUCCUCUGCCCAUAAAAGGCAGAGCGUUGAGCAAAAGUCCGAUAAAUCUUUGAUGGAAUUACAGCAGGAUCAACAUGCUGAGGAGUAUAAUAAGGAUCAAAGUAAGGAUGCUGACGAUUGCUCGAAUGGGUUAUGUAAGUCACCCAGUGAGCUUCUUCUCCACAUCCGAUGUUUCCUUCCAUUAAUGGAUGCUGUGAGGACGAGUAUCUUAUUGAAAAAGUGGGGGCACCUGUGGGCCGUGGUUCUUGACCUUCACUUUCCUGAGAGCCAGAGGUCUCUCUUCCUGGAGUUUGUGGGACGAGCAUGUGCUCUUCGUAGCUCACGUUUUAUGAGAUCCUCUUUUCUAUCGUGCAUGUGACGACAUUAGGGGUGUUGUACCUCCGAUUACAAAAUUGACUCUACUUGUGUUGUAAAAAUAUGUCGUGUGCGGGAUCUCCAUCUACUCAUCCCUAGACAUGGUAAUCCCUAUAAAUUACCUUUCUCUCCA